CGAACCGGUAGUCCGUCGUCUUUGUUCUCGAAAUUAGGUAAACGUUUCAGUGGACCUGGCAGACAGACCUUUCUCUUGCUUUUGGCUGGAUAGCAUACCCCGAAUGGUAGCUGUCGAGAGGAAGCUUUGGUUGGAGCUGACUUUAUAGUCCAAACGCAAAAGAUAAACGCGUUGGUGUGUUAACAACACGGUAUCCAGAAGUUUAGGAACUUGGUGUGUGUGUGUCGAGUGCUUCUUUGAUGCUAACAAGGAGCGCUAGCAAUGGUCUGACAGACAAACUCAAGCUAACGUCGCUGAAGGUAUGAGGAGUGAAGCAAUGUGUUUCGGGAGACGCUAACACAGUUAUAUAAGUUUGUCAAGCAAUAACAUUAAUGUUAGUUGGCUGACGUUAUUGAGCUGAAGCCUUGGUCAACUCAACCUAUUCACUUGUAGCUAGCCGGUGCUAACUUGCUUAUUAAGCAUAUCUGAAGGUAACGCUGAGUUAUUGAAAGCAACCUUGGCAGCUCCUAAGGUUGCCAGGGUAAACCAAAGACACAUAGACGAGAAGCUUGACUUAUAAAUGCUGUAAUUCCAUUAAGGGCAUUGUAAGUAAUGUAAGGAGGGGUCAACCCUUGUUUCUGUUUAACUGCUCAAACACACCCACAGGUGUGUCUAUGGCCUGAGGACAAAAUUUUGCCCAGGCCUGAGUCCUUCUGAACAAGUAUUACAACUUCACAACUGAACUGGCAGUACAUGCAUGCCUUUCCAGUAAGCUGGAACUGAGAACUGAGUGUUUGCUGGUUUUAAUUCAACUCUAACAAGCUCAGAGAGAAAGCAUGACAUCUGUGGUAGGCAGAGCAUGGGGGUGGGUGCGCUCAUGGGCCAGCAGUGCCAUGUCAGAGAACACCACAACAGUGAUAGCUGAAGGCCAGAGGCAUGGCUGCGGCAGCCGGGGCCUCAGGGGGUGGACCUCCUGGAUCUGGGGAGGGUGGAGACGUCAGAGUGACCAAAGUAGUUCAGUAGAGGAGUACUGGGAGGCACAGGAGAAGCUUCAGCCCAUGGAAGUUGAAGAUCUCGGCGCAGGGAAACAUGAGACAGAGGCAAAUUCAGAGCAUGUUUCUAGAUGGUGGAAUAAAUAUCUCCCAACUUCUUACCUUUCUUGGCCAAGAAAAACAGAGGCAAGCGGACAAAGACGAAGGAAACGUUAUGGUCAGAGUGGAGAUGCAUGGGACCGUGAUGUUGAUGGGGACUUUUCUGACUAUGGAACGCCUCCUCCGUCUCCUACACCUCCUUCCACUCAGUUGACAUCUCCUUUCCGACUCUUUGCGCACAACUGGAAAAUGGAAAUCCUACCAGAGCACCACGAGAUCUGUUUCAACUUCCUGCGCCACUUGUUUGACCUGUUUGUCGUUGGCUUCCUGUGGACUGUGUCCCCCCCUGCCAAACUGAUCCUGGAGGUGUUGGGGGUCCAGGGAGCACUGAGGCUGUGGUUUCAUGGUAUGGCCAUGUUUUUUGUCUCCACAGUUGGAAUGGCAGGAUUACUCUGGUUGAUCCAGGAGUAUCUCCCUCAGUUUGCUUUGAUCUAUGGCAUCAUACAGGCAUUGGUGAUCUCUGUCAGCGUUCGGCAGAGUGUGAUCCUCGGCAUAGAGGAAGAAAAAGCCGAAAAGGAUGAGGAGGCCAAGGAGACUGAUGAAGUGAAAGACAGUAGGGAACAUAAAGAAAAGCUUGGGUCUGUUAAGGACUAGGUGAAGACAAGUUAAACUUAAGUUAAGUUUGACUAACCUGGAGGUUUGUUUCCAACCUGGCUGAUCGUCUUGACUGCUGUUGGACUUGUAAUUUGUCUUAGUGAUGUCACAGUGUUCCCAGAGAGUAACAGUAUAGUGCGGAAUUAUCCUUUGAGAUGGUGAGAAGUUGCUGUCUAUUCAGGAGUCCACCAACACCAGUCCACCUGUAUCCUCAAGUGUUUGACAUCACAACAGUGGGACUACAGAGAUGGCACCAUUGUGUUCUGCAGUGUGGCUUCAGAAUUGUAUUGUAAACUCAUAGAAGUUGUACUUAUGUCACUUUAUGUUCAACACUAUUAAUCUGCAUUUUAUAGAUGUCUGUCCUCAUUUGAUCUUAAUGUUGUCACCAGAAUGUUAACAUUGAUAGCAACACAACGUUCAGUAUCAAAAAGUAUACUACUACUAUAGUUGGGGUCAGAAAUGAUAGGUGGAUGUUCAAGAAAUGCUUUUAAGUCAAAAAAGAGACAGAUAUCCAGUAUUUAGGGAAUACUCUGCUGCAUGCUCUAAAUCCUGGCAUUCUGUUGACAUUUCAUUUCUGUCCUGUGGGACUACUCAUGAUUCACCCAGUUUUGGGAUCAAGUGAUUGCCUUUGGUGCAUUCUGGGUGAGAAGAAAUUAACCAAAAAAACCCCAAAAACAAAUACACAGCCUGAAUUAGCAGAAAUUUUAGGCAUCACCACCAGGAGGAAAUAAGUGCAAACUGAUCCAAACCAUGGCACUAACAAAAAUAAAAGUAUGUUUAAAAGAAGACAUCGUAGGGGAUUGAAAGAAGCAGUGUUUGAGGACAGAUGAGUCUUCACAUAGUCUCGCUGUGGGUAUUCAGCAAAGGCACAGAAGUUCAGACAAACCUUAAUGCUAAAAAAAAUAUUACAGUGCCCCUGAAAGUCAGGAUAAAAUGACUGUAAUGCCACAGGUAGGCAGUUUUUUUUUUUUUCAGACUAUUUGUGAAAAGCAAUGUAAUUCUGAAGUCCAUAAUGUGAAUUUGGAAUCAUCCAAUUGGAGUGCAGUUUUAACCAGUGACUGUAGUGUCGUUCUCUUCUGAAGCUUGAAUCUGAAUUCUUAGUCACUUAACGCAUUACACCUGCAAGUAUGUAACCCAUCUUAAAUUUAAGUGAACUGACACUCAUACGACUGAUUUUACUCUUUUUCAGAGACCCCCCCUGAUCACGAUCACAUUCACACCUGAACCUCAAUGGUGAUAAUGAGGGCAGGACAAGCACUGCUUUUCACUUUCAGAUUUAUCCUGGGGAUUGAACCUACGAUUUUCUGGUCACAAGCUCGCUUCUCUAACCUUUAGGCCACUACUGCCAGGUCCUCUAUUCAACUUUGAUGUGCACAUUCACACAGUUGACCACUAGAAACUCUAACACACUGUUUGGAAAUGCUUAAUAUUUAUUUAUUACCCACAUCAGACCUGUGACAUCACAUUCCUUUCCAGGGCCGAGUGCGAAUACUUUAGUUGAACAGAAGGCUAAUGUGCUUUUGCUGGAGUGAAAAUCCAAAUUUGGUCAAAGGGGAAGAAGCCUGGGCGGAACGAGGAAGUAGCAACCACCACUGCUGACAUAUAGGUUUAGACACCUGUUAAGCACACACACACUACAAAAUAUACCUUAUUAAAGCCAUAAGAUCUCCUUUACUCUUUGACCUCAAAUUCUGAUUCUUCAAAAUAAAACAUGUAUUUUGAGACUGAAGACUAAUUGAAUGGAAUUCAAUGGUUUGUUCAAUGAGGGAUUUUUUUGUCGCAGAACACACAUCUAAUAGCCAUAGAGGAAGUGGCUUCAGCACUCAGCUAUGAUGCUUGUUCUCAACUAUAAAUCAUAAAUCAUCAAAUCAAAUGUUUUUCACUUCUGCUGGUGAAUCUGUUUUGUACUUGAUAUAUUUUCACAUAUGGAACUGAAAAAGGAGGGUGUUUAAAAUGUUCUGUGGACGAGGCAUUUCCUGAAAACCUUAACACAUUCUGUACAUGAAUUACGUUACAUUGAGAUUCCUCAAAUAUUAACUCAAGAACGUGGCACUAUCAUUGUUGCUUUUUGUAAGUGGUAUUCUCUCUCCACAAGUAUGUGUUUUUAUGGACUUUUACUUCCUUAUGAUGCUUUAGAUUUAAAGGCACAAAAAUUAAAGACCAAACUAAUUUGGUUUUAGUGCACGAUAGCAUGUUUUGCACUCAACACUCCUUACCUGUAUCACAACCUGUAAGAUGUGGAAGCCUGUGGCUGGCUGUUGAAAUGAAAUAAUUAAAUCUAACUGAAAUGUCAUUGGCCAUUUGUGUGCACAUGAUGUAUGACAAAGUUAGAAUAAAAAUGUUAAAAUGCCAAUUUCAUAAAAAAUGAAAAUAAAACCUUGAGUGACAAGUAAUUUUCAGUAUACUCCUCUAAGUGUAACACUGCCAUAAUGACAGAAAAUGUGCAACCUAAACGUGAAAAUGGAAUUUCAAACUGUUUAGAGCUGAAACAAUCGAUUUGUCAAUUGACAGAAAAUGUAUCUAUUAUUUUGUCUUAUUGUUGACGUUGUUUUUCUAGCAAAAAUGCCAAACAUUCCCUAGUUCCAGCUUCUCAGUUGUAAGUUUGCUGCUUUCCUUUGUCUUAUGUGAUAGUAAAUUGAAUAUCUUGGUUUUGAAUCGUACAGCAAAAGUAAUUUGAAGAUGAGGCCUUGGGCUGUAGGAAAUUGUGAUGGGCAUUUUUCUGUAUUUUUUGACCUUUUAUAGACCAUACAAUUAAUAGAGAAAAUAAUUGGCAGAUGCAUUUGAAUUAUGUUUUGCUUUAUAUUGUGACUAAUAAAAUGUAAAUGGUGCUUUUCAUGGUCAAUGUAAUAAGAGUUGAUUUUGACAGAUUUCAUAAAAGAGGCCUGUAAGCUUCUUGACAUUAUGACAAGCUAAAAUUGGGUAAUAAAAAAAGUCCUGAAAACAGUCCAGAGUGCAGUUUAAUUUUGAAGGUUAGGUUUCACAUUGUCUGCCAAUUUUAAAAAAAUACUCCAUUUUACAUUUCAUUGUUAUUAUGAUGUUAUGCUAAGGAGUAUACUAAGAGUAAUUAUUUGACAGUGUAGUUUUCAUUUUAAUUUUGUCAGUAUUGACACAUUUUCAAACAUUAAAAUUUGAUUUCAAAAUUGUAAUUCCAAUUGUUUCAUAUGUGCACACAAAAGGAAAAUGAAAUUUUUAUUUGAUUACAUGAUUUAAUUUUAAUAUUGGCAGCUAUAGACUUCCAUCGUGAAUAUGUCUAGCUAUCUUGGGCUUUUUUAUAUUGCACCAAAUUUGUAUUAACAUUUUGAGUCCCAAGGAGGUGACACAAUAUCUACAACUCUUUGUUGCCUUUUAUUCAUUGUUUGCUUAUUUUGAGCUUUUAUUGCAGUGAUAUUAAUGCCGAUAAUCCCUUGUAAAUAAAGCUAUUUUUAUAUGAGCAGCAAACACACCUAACAAGUGCAGGAUCACUGUAGCUAAAAAAACUCUGUCUUGCUUCCUUUAAUAAGGAGGAAGGACCUCACCGAUGGUGUAAGUUUAACGUGGAUGAAGUUAAGGAAAGAAGUAUCUGCUGUGUACCUGUUACUGUACAUCUAAUUUAUAGCCACUUUGAACCCAACACUACACUGAGGUUAAAUGCUCCCACUGGCUAAAUAAAACUGAUGUUCUUUUAUUA